AUGGCGGCGGUAGCGGCGGGCCCGGUGUUCUGGAGGCGGCUGCUGGGCCUCCUGCCCGGCCGGCCCGGGCUGGUCGCUCUCCUGGGCCGCCUCUCGGACCGACUCAGCAGGAACAGAGACCGCCACGGCCGGAGAUCACCAUGGCUCCUCUUGGCUCCCUUGUUGUCCCCACCUGUUCCUCAGGUCACCUCCCCUCCUUGCUGCCUGUGUCCAGAGGGGGUCCACAGGUUUCAAUGGAUAAGAAACUUGGUUCCAGAAUUUGGUGUUUCUAGCUCUCACGUUAAGGUGUUAUCUUCUCCAGCAGAGUUUUUUGAGCUCAUGAAGGGACAGAUAAAGACAGCCAAAAGGCGAGUAGUGAUGGCCUCUCUGUAUCUUGGGACAGGUCCUUUGGAACAGGAACUGGUGGAUUGUAUAGAAAGUAGUCUAGAAAGGUCACUACAAGCAAAUUUUUCUUCAGACCUCAAAGUUUCCAUUCUUUUAGAUUUUACCCGGGGAUCAAGAGGUAGGAAGAACUCCCGCACAAUGCUGCUCCCAUUACUGCAGAAGUUUCCUGAUCAGGUCCGUGUCUCCCUCUUCCACACUCCAAACCUUCGUGGGCUCCUCCGGCUCCUUAUUCCUGAACGCUUCAAUGAAACCAUUGGCCUUCAGCACAUCAAAGUUUAUCUUUUUGACAACAAUGUGAUCUUGAGUGGUGCAAACCUGAGUGACUCCUACUUCACCAAUCGCCAGGACCGAUAUGUGUUUCUGCAGGACUGCCCAGAGAUUGCUGACUUCUUCACAGAGCUUGUGAAUGCAGUAGGGGAUGUGUCCUUACAGCUUCAGGGUGAUGACACUGUACAGAUGGUGGAAGGGAUGGUACAUCCUUACAAAGGAGAUCAGACCGCAUAUUGUGAGGCAGCCAACAAGAGAGUCAUGGAUGUGAUCAACACAGCUCGGACCCGACAGCAGCUGCUCCAUGCCCAGACUUUUCACAGUGACUCUCUUUUGACCCAGGAAGAUGCAGCAGCAGCUGGUGACCGGAGGCCAGCUCCUGAUACCUGGAUUUAUCCGUUGAUCCAGAUGAAGCCUUUUGAGAUUAAAAUUGAUGAGAUUGUUACAGAGACACUGCUGACAGAGGCAGAGAGGGAUGCUAAGAUCUACCUUACUACUGGUUAUUUCAACCUAACCCAGGCCUACAUGGAUCUGGUCCUGGGCACUCGGGCAGAGUACCACAUUCUUUUGGCUUCACCUGAAGUGAAUGGCUUCUUUGGGGCCAAGGGGGUGGCGGGUGCCAUCCCUGCUGCUUAUGUCCAUAUAGAGAGACAGUUCUACAGUGAAGUCUGUAGCCUAGGGCAGCAGGAACGAGUGCAGCUACAGGAAUACUGGCGGAGUGGUUGGACCUUUCAUGCCAAAGGCCUGUGGCUGUACCUGGCAGGGAGCAGUCUGCCCUGUCUCACGUUGAUUGGCUCUCCUAAUUUUGGAUACAGGUCAGUUCAUCGGGACCUGGAAGCCCAGAUUGCCAUUGUGACAGAGAACCGAGCUUUGCAGCAGCAGCUCCACCAGGAACAGGAGCAACUUUACCGAAGGUCAGGUUUGGUGUCAUCUGCCACCUUUGAGCAGCCAAGUCGGUAUGUGAAGCUGUGGGUGAAGAUGGUGACUCCACUGAUUAAGAACUUCUUCUGAGGACAGAACCUUAUGACCGUUUGGGAAGGAAAGCAAGACUUGCAAAGCGAAGAAACUUGCCUUGGAUUUGGACCAAGAUUCUCUGGUCACAGACACAGAUUUCUUUCUACCAUACCAAACUGUCUCUGUCUCUCAAACUCCUAAGGAGGCACAAUAAAGCUAGAAAACUAUCUUUUUAAAGGCUACCUUGAUGUGACCAAUCUUCAGAGUCAAAAGCAAGUUGCCCUCCAAUGCCUUAAAGGUUAUACUUCAUAAAGGGAGUGCUGAAGACCAAAUUCUCCAGAAAGCAAGCAGCCUCUCUACUGCCCAUCUUCACCUGGAUUUGGUCAGAGUGGGGGGAUUUCCUAACCGAGGAAGGAUCCAGCACCUUCACGAGAGGGACCGACAAGGAAUUCUCUGAGGAUCCCUAACCAACUGGAAGACUCGAGAUGGGGAGUGGGUGACCUCUCCUAUGUGAUACUGGGAAAAGGUGUUAACUGGAAUGGUCCCAUUGGGGCGAAAAUUAAAGGGCAUCUAUAGCA